rnacentral:piRNA from 1 species
UCCUGCCAGAGUGGAAUAAGACACCCAUC